GGCUUUCUGGCCGAGCGGUCUAAGGCGCUGUGUUCAGGUUGAUUAGUCAACUUAUUACAAUUCGCAGUCUCGUAAGAGGCUUGGGUUCGAAUCCCAAGGAAGUCA